CUCAGUUGCUGUGCUUCUCACCAGUAUGGAUAACUCUAGUGUCAGUUAAUAGCCCUCCCUUGUUGACAUUGGGUGGACUGUGAAUGAACUCUAAGGGUUUUUAGACUUAGUUGGGACCGAUGGAUUUGUGAAGGGAAGCAAGUCUUGUUUGGGCCACAAGGUCUCUAAAAUGUUCUUUUAAAAUUUCUUCUGUGGAUUUUGAGCUCUACCAAAAGAUCUUGAGACUGUCAUAAAGCACCAAACUAGGCCUAAUGAAGACUAAUAUGCAGCAUGUGAAUGACCACCCAAAGUAUCCUCCAUAAAUAUUUGUUGGAUUUGUUAUUUACUAAAUAAUUAAAUAUCUCCAAAAGUGCAUAUAACAAAAAUGUAGAAACACACUGAUAUCAUUAGGUAGUUGAAACAAACAUAUGUACCUGUGACAUAGAAGAAUAUUUUAGACAUCAAGACUUAUGUGAAAUUUGUGGUCUUUGUAGAAGAAUUGAGACCUGGGGAUAGCACCCAAGAAGAGGGAAGAUAUGGGUUGACAACUGAGACAUUUCCUGGAUUGUUCAUAUCAUGUCACAGCUGGACUGAGCCUUAGAAGAGUUUGCAUCAACACUAAAUAACCCCUCUAAACAUCUGAGGCUGAAUGGGGUAAGAAGAGGAAUACAUUCCAUUCUUAUUAAAAAACAUCAAGUGAUUGUUUUCUGUAUCAAAUGCGGAAUUCCGGUUUUAUCAAACACGUCUCGGAGAAACACCCCAGCCUCCAAAGCAGACAGCAGUUGUAAACAUCUCCUCUUCCUGCUGAGAAGCUGCGGAAUUCCAGAGCCCUGACCUGCGAAAUACCAGUUCUCUGCUCCCUCCCCAUGGAACGGAAGCUAAGCCCUGAGGGAGGGCAUUUGU
rnacentral:lncRNA from 1 species